CUUAUCAAGAGCGGCGGAGGGAACAGGCCCUGUGAAGCCCGGCAACCUGCAUUCGUAAGGUGCCAAAUCCUGCGGGAAACCGAAAGAUAAG
rnacentral:ncRNA from 1 species